AUUGAACGCUGGCGGCAUGCUUUACACAUGCAAGUCGAACGGCAGCGCGGGCUUCGGCCUGGCGGCGAGUGGCGAACGGGUGAGUAAUGCAUCGGAACGUGCCCAGUAGUGGGGGAUAGCCCGGCGAAAGCCGGAUUAAUACCGCAUACGACCUGCGGCUGAAAGCGGGGGACCGAAAGGCCUCGCGCUAUUGGAGCGGCCGAUGUCGGAUUAGCUAGUUGGUGGGGUAAAGGCUUACCAAGGCGACGAUCCGUAGCUGGUCUGAGAGGACGACCAGCCACACUGGGACUGAGACACGGCCCAGACUCCUACGGGAGGCAGCAGUGGGGAAUUUUGGACAAUGGGGGCAACCCUGAUCCAGCCAUGCCGCGUGCGGGAAGAAGGCCUUCGGGUUGUAAACCGCUUUUGUUCGGGAAGAAAUCCUCUGGGCUAAUACCCCGGGGGGAUGACGGUACCGGAAGAAUAAGCACCGGCUAACUACGUG
rnacentral:rRNA from 1 species